rnacentral:rRNA from 1 species
CUUGCUUCUCUUGAGAGCGGCGGACGGGUGAGUAAUGCCUAGGAAUCUGCCUGGUAGUGGGGGAUAACGUCCGGAAACGGACGCUAAUACCGCAUACGUCCUACGGGAGAAAGCAGGGGACCUUCGGGCCUUGCGCUAUCAGAUGAGCCUAGGUCGGAUUAGCUAGUUGGUGGGGUAAUGGCUCACCAAGGCGACGAUCCGUAACUGGUCUGAGAGGAUGAUCAGUCACACUGGAACUGAGACACGGUCCAGACUCCUACGGGAGGCAGCAGUGGGGAAUAUUGGACAAUGGGCGAAAGCCUGAUCCAGCCAUGCCGCGUGUGUGAAGAAGGUCUUCGGAUUGUAAAGCACUUUAAGUUGGGAGGAAGGGCAGUAAAUUAAUACUUUGCUGUUUUGACGUUACCGACAGAAUAAGCACCGGCUAACUCUGUGCCAGCAGCCGCGGUAAUACAGAGGGUGCAAGCGUUAAUCGGAAUUACUGGGCGUAAAGCGCGCGUAGGUGGUUCGUUAAGUUGGAUGUGAAAUCCCCGGGCUCAACCUGGGAACUGCAUUCAAAACUGACGAGCUAGAGUAUGGUAGAGGGUGGUGGAAUUUCCUGUGUAGCGGUGAAAUGCGUAGAUAUAGGAAGGAACACCAGUGGCGAAGGCGACCACCUGGACUGAUACUGACACUGAGGUGCGAAAGCGUGGGGAGCAAACAGAUUAGAUACCCUGGUUAGUUCACGCCGUAAAACGAUGUCAACUAGCCGUUGGGAGCCUUGGAGCUCU